GACGAACGCUGGCGGCGUGCUUAACACAUGCAAGUCGAACGGAGAUUAUAGCAAUAUAAUCUUAGUGGCGGACGGGUGAGUAACGCGUGGGCAACCUGCCUUAGACAGGGGGAUAACACAGGGAAACUUGUGCUAAUACCGCAUAACACGGUGAAGUGGCAUCACUUUAUCGUCAAAGGAGCAAUCCGGUUUAAGAUGGGCCCGCGUACGAUUAGCUAGUUGGUGGGUAAAGCCUACCAAGGCGACGAUCGUUAGCCGAACUGAGAGGUUGAUCGGCCACAUUGGGACUGAGACACGGCCCAGACUCCUACGGGAGGCUG
rnacentral:rRNA from 1 species